rnacentral:lncRNA from 1 species
AUCCCUCAAAAAAGCAGCAGCAAUAGAAGCUUCCUGGGCCUUGUUUGUUGUAAGAUCUCUCAGACCCGAUUUCUUAAAUUAACAGACCAAAAAUACGGAGAAAAUGAAUACAAGAGAAAAGAGAUUAAAGGAGUUUAAUCUAGAGCAGCAAUGAAGAACUGCAGAGGCACCAACUUAGCUUACUUGGAUCUUCUCUGCUACUUCCAAUACUGUUAGGCCUUUGCUACCCUCAAGAGAAAGAAUAUGAAAUGCAGCAAAUUUAACAGUUCCGGGUGUCAACCGAUGUCUAGAUCUGCGUGGAUUGGAGAAACCCCUUUCUUGCAUUAUAGCAAUGGCAUUUGCUGCUGCCCCAUUUCGAAAAUUAGUAAUUAUGUCUUCACCAUUAUUACCCUACAUGGACACACAAGAUAGAUUAACAAUUGUAUGCCUGAAAACUAAAGAAGACAAAUUUGAAGCUUGUUGAUUGGCCAUCAUAGUUUUAGGUAUUACCACCACAGAUGUACUCUCAUACAUUACACCCCCAAGAGUAAGACAUCUUUUUUGGUAACAAGAUAACUGAUAUGCUUAAGGGUUGGAUUUUAUUCUAACUGCUUCAACUAGACCUUACCUUAAAAAUAUUCAUCACUGAAAGAAACAAAAAAAUUUGCAGAAAAUCAUGCUCAAUACCAAUCAACUCAGACACAUAUGAAUGUUGUAUGAAUGUAGAUGUCUAAAACAGAAGGAAAUAAAGAUUAGACAAUCCAUAUUGCAUUCGAAAUAAGCAUAAGAGGAAAAUAAGAAAAAAUUAACAAUAAUAUACUGAGAGGGGAGCUCCUCCGAAAUAGCAUGCUGAAAUAUAACUGUUUCAGAAUUAGUAAAAACUCUUUCUGCUAUCUGCCCUGAAGAGUAAGACUUUCUUCUAGUAACCGAAAAAAAGAAAGAAAUUGAUAUGCCCGCAGGCUGGAUUUUUUUCAAACUGAUUCAAUAGACCUUAUCUUAAAAAUAGUCAUAAAAGGAAAUGAUGUAUUUGAAGAAAAUCGUAUUAAAUGCUGAAUUCAAACAAAUAUGAAUACUUUCCAAAGUGAAAAGAAACAACUAAAACAGGAGGAAAUAAAGAAUAGAAAUGUAUGGUGCAUUAGAAAUAAGCAUAAAGAGAGAAAGUAAGUAAAAAUAAUAAUAUACUGGAAAGAGAGCUCCCCAUAAGAGCAUGCUUCGCUCAAACAUAUUACAUACAAUAGUUGUACUCAAAAGAAAGAUAUCCCUACUACAUAAGAAUCAGAUGAGAACUCUUUCAGUUGAAUAUACAGGCAAACAAGUUCCUACAUGCACCAAGCAAGAAAUACCGCAUCUUUAACCUUUUCUGUUCACUAAUAGUUCACACUAACCAACCCAGUCCAAUCCAACAAUAGUUGAGUGACAAUAAAAAUUUGGUUUUAUCAUCGGCUUUCUUGACCAAUCAUCCAUUCUGCUAAGGAGUGAUAUAACUAAAAACAUUGUAAGAUCUUCUACAGCAUUGAGCUUCCAGAACUCCAUGGAGAAGCAAACUUUCGAUGUAAUUCAGAACUUCUCAGUAGCAUUCCCAACUUGAUCAGUCAAGGCUAAAAAAGUAGAAAUAGCCUAAACAAAUCGCACCCAAGAUUCUCCUAUUGAAGGCUGAAAACUAGGAUAGCUCGCUCAAAAAAUUCAACCGUGCAUAAUAUUCUUAUCAAGUAAAAUACACAAGCAGUACUCAUUAUAUAAGCAAAAUGGCAACCAUUACAUUCAAAAGUCACAACUAUAUAACCAGACAAGUCAUCACAACUUUAGUUAAGACCAAAAGAAUAGCUUGCAGUUCUUAUUGUUCACUUCCUGAUGUCAUGAACAGCUUGCUGCUUAGUGCAGCUGCUACUCUUUGUAGCAGACUAGCCAGCUUCUUUGGAUGAAUAUGACUCUCAUUUAAUCAAAAAGGAAAAAAUAAUAAUAAUAAUAUUAAACAUGAAAGCACAGAUGACUCUUCAACUAAAAAGAUAAAGGACCACAUAACCAACUGACAAAGAAAAGCACCUCAUUUCCAUCACAAAGAUAUGCCUGCUGAAUAUUUCUUUUCUUCAGCUGUGGCCCAAAUCCAGCAGACAGAGCAAACUGCCGCAAGAUUUCGGGCCAUGUCAACACAUUUAAGUGGCGUUGCCAGCUGCGUAUGUCAAAGCCCCAAGCGUAUGCCUAAAUAUAGGGUGUAACACAGGAAAGUAAUGGAGAAAGUUUAUCAGUAAGAAAUGACCCUAACCAUAAACUAUUAAUAGCUUAUAGCUCACCCCUUCAACAAUCUGUGGAUGCCCACCUCCAGGGUUAGCAGCACUGUUUUGACUUGCUCCUGCCCCAGUUGAAGGUGUUCGUGCAACAUCCUCAAUAUCUUUGAUAAUAGAUCUAAGAAGAGCAACAUGUAUCUCACCCAACAACCUUGGAUCCUGAAACAUCCAAGAGAAAAAGUGCAGAUCCAUAUCAAAGAAAAUAUGCUAACAAGGAUCAUAGCUCCUAGUAGAAUUAAAUCAAUACAAAAAUCUCUUUUCGAAGGAGAAUGGUAGGGGAAAAAGACAACUUACAUAGUCAUGAAAAGCUUGGACAAGCUCAUCCAGAGUAAAAGGCCAAAGUCCAAGAACAUCUGCAAAGGUAAUUAAGAACCUCCAGACCUAAAAUAUUUGUCACAAUUCAAACCUUGAUAAAUACAAUACAUAGCCAUACAUGAUAAAUUGGCAGCUAAAAAGAUGUGAUGCAUGCACAGAAUUUCAAACAGAACAUAAGAAAACAUAACACAGCCAAUAACCAUCAACAAAUUUUCAUCUUCAAUCAACAAUAGUAUAGAGAGAUUCGGCAAACCACCAAGGGGAAGGAAACACAACCCUUAACAUGAUUACACAUAUAGAGAAAAUGAUAAAUGAUAAUGCUUAUAAAUGCAUAUGAUAUAAAAGAUUGCCCUUAGAUGGACUUCACAAUAACAUAAAAGAUUGGAAAUUCAGGGUAGAAACCAGAAAAUUAACCACUUCAGACAAGGCAUCAUUUGGUAACUUGGCCAAUUUUUCGUGUUUUUAUUUUCAAGAGUUCUAUUUUCCUUUUUUUCUCAAUUUCUGAUAAAAGGAAACAUAGCAGUUGUUAAAAGAUAGGGCAAGAAAAUGGAAUGGAAUGGCUGGUUUGAGUAAGACAUUCAUCAUCAAUAACUUAGUCACUAUGUGUUAUUUUUGACAAUAAAAGAUGACACUGCUCAUAUAACAGGGUACUGUUCACAGCAGAUAACAGGGUCCUACUUGUAAAUUUUGUAUCCGAAACAGAUGGAAACGCUUUCUUUUUUGCUUCCAAUAACUCUGAAAACUUUGUCUAUCUUUUCAGGGUUUUUUUUUUUUUUGAAUUGAAUUGUCAGAUUUCAGUUUCCUAAUUAAGGAAUAUUUGAGUGUAUCAAAUAGGAUUCUGUAAAUAUUUUAUCCCUAACUUUAAGACUGUUUUUAGGUAUAGCAUCCCUGGAAUUAGUAUGUUUCCUAGUGUAAAGUUUCCUAAGUUAGGCUCACUAUGUCUAUAAAUAUUUAUGUAAUUUCUUGUGAAAAAUAUAAUUGAAAUAGUCUAUUUUUAACAUGGUAUCAGAGCUUUUUUAGCCCGAUUUCUGGGAUUUUUUUUCUUUUUCUGGCGAUUUUUUUCCUGAUUCCAACCAGCCCUCAAGCCUGUAAAAUUUUUUCAAACGAAACAUGACUGAAACUGUCAAGAUCAGUAACAUUGGGGAUGUCUCAGAAGUUUCUGUGAACAACUCAAACCCAACAAGUGAGUUUCAGAACAUCCAAGUAGCCUAUAGGAUAAAUGGGAAAAAUUACCUGAAGUGGUCUCAACUGGUUCGUACGUUCUUGAACGGAAGAGGAAAACUGAGUCACUUACUCGGAACUGGACCUAAAGAAGGAGAUCCUAAGUUUGAUGCUUGGGAUGAACAAGACUCUAUGGUAAUGUCUUGGUUAUGGAACUCUAUGAUGCCAGAAAUCAGUGAUACAUGCAUGUUUCUUAACACAUCCAAAGAAAUAUGGGUAGCUGUGAAACAGACUUAUUCUAAAGUUCGAGAUGCUGCUCAAAUAUAUGAAAUCAAGACUAAGAUUUCAUCUACCAAGCAAGGAAGUCGAUCAAUCACGGAGUAUUCCAAUCUGUUACAAAGUUUAUGGCAAGAGAUGGAUCAUUACCAGUGCAUUCAGAUGAAGUACAGUGAAGAUGCAGCACUCCUGAAAAGGUUCGUUGAAAAGGAUCGAAUUUAUGAUUUUCUUGCUGGACUAAAUGUUGAGUUUGAUGCAGUAAGAGUUCAAGUACUUGGAAAAGAGGAACUACCAUCACUAAAUGAGACAAUUGCAAUUGUUCGUGCUGAGGAAGGAAGAAGAGGAGUUAUAGUUGAGAACAGUCAAGUGGAUAGUUCAGCCUGGUUACAAAAGCUGUAAGUGAGAGGAGAUUUGGCCUGGAGCAGCCAAAUAGUGAAGAUAAUAGACAGACAACGUACAAAGCCUAUUAACAGGGAUUCCGUAUGGUGCACCUACUGUAAAAAGGCCCGUCACAUUAAAGAAAGAUGCUAGAAACUCCAUGGGAAGCCACAAACAACAAAUAAAAAUUUUUCAGAAAAAGGUGGACAACCAAAGGGACAAGGACGAGCAUAUACAGCAAGACAGCUGGAUGGAAAAAAUAAUUCUCAAGAAUCACCUGUUGAAUUCAAUAAAGAAGAAAUUGAGAAGUUAAAAAAUUUGCUGGGAUCAUUGAAAAAAACUUCUUCAACAGGUACUUGUAGUUUGGCUUUUUCAGGUAUAUCCUCUUCUCAAGAUUCUAAAAUCUCAGAUACAGUCACCAAAAGUUCUUGGGUCAUUGACUCAGGAGCUACGGACCACAUGACCCACUCCUCACAAAAAUUUGUUUCAUAUACACCUUGCCCUAAUAGUAGAAAAAUAACAGUAGCCGAUGGUUCUGUGAUCAAAAUGGCUGGUCAGGGUGAUAUUGUUAUAAACAAAACCCUUACUCUUAAAAAUUUCCUUCAUGUUCCAAAACUAUUUACCAAUCUUUUAUCCAUUCAAAGAAUGACCAAAGACUCUAACUGUAAAGUGGUUUUCUAUCACAAUCGAUGUCUUUUUCAGGAACAGAAUACGAGGAGGAUGAUUGGACAUGCUAAGGAAGUAAAUGGCCUAUACUAUCUUGAAAAAUCCAGUGAAGAAGUUAGUGCUCUGAAUUCCUCACCUUCAUCUUUCAUAUACGAAUCUAUUAAAACCAAUAAAGACCAAAUUUGGCUCUAUCACCUUCGCCUUGGUCAUCCAUCGUUUAGAGUCCUUAAAAUUAUGUUUCCUUCAUUGUUCAAAGGAUUGGUUGUUGAAAAAUUUCAUUGUGAUAUCUGUGAACUUGCAAAACAUAAACAUACCUCUUUUCCAGUAAGCAAUAAAAGAACUUUCACUCCUUUUACUCUUAUUCAUAGUGAUGUUUGGGGGCCAUCCACUAUUUCAAAUAUUUCUGGGGCUCGGUGGUUUGUAUCCUUUAUUGAUGAUUGUACUCGUGUAUCUUGGAUAUUUCUUUUAAAACAAAAGUCUGAUGUAAGGUCUAUCUUUCCAACCUUUUACAACAUGAUCAAAACACAAUUUGGAGCUGAAAUAAAAAGGUUUAGGUCAGACAAUGCCAAGGAUUAUUUCAAUCAAUUUCUCUCAACAUAUUUCCAAGAAAGAGGCAUUAUACAUGAGUCAUCUUGUGUUAGUACACCCUAACAAAAUGGUGUUGCCGAAAGAAAAAAUGGUCACAUUUUAGCUAUUACAAGAGCCCUUUUGUUCCAAAAAAAUGUCCCUAAACAAUAUUGGGAGGAGGCUGUUUUAACUGCUACUCAUUUGAUAAAUAGAUUGCCUACAAAAGUCCUUGAAUCUCAAAGUCCUAUGCAAGUUCUAGCAAAAUUCUUUCCUGAUUUUAAUACUUCAAGUAAUCUUACUCCCAAAAUAUUUGGCUGUGUUGCUUUUGUACAUGUUCAUUCUCAAAAUAGAGGAAAAUUUGAUCCACGAGCUAUCAAGUGUGUCUUUCUCGGUUAUUCUUCCACUCAAAAGGGGUACAAAUGCUAUCAUUCAGCCACAAAAAAAAAAUUUGUAACAGCAGAUGUUACUUUUGCAGAACAAGAGCAUUUCUUUACUCGUCCUUAUCUUCAGGGGGAGAUCUUAUUCACAGAAGAUAAGGACAAAGAAUUCUUUCUUCUUGACAUUCCAGCUCCUGUCCAGCAACAAAACACCCACAUUCCAGCUCCUGUACAGCAGCAAAACACUCACAUUCCAGCUCCUGUCCAGCAACCAAACACUCCUACUCAAUCCUUGCCUACUAACCAACCUGCCCGACUUGGAACAAUGGCCCCUAUACAACCUGAAACAGAGCCUAAUACACCCAAAUCACCAAGAGGAAUUCAGGACACUACUCGUCCUUUACUGGUUUACUCAAGGAAGAAGGCACCGGUGCAAGUUCAAUCAUCUUCUUCUCCUAUACGACCUAAGGUAAUUGCUGAACCUACUUUGAAUUCUAAUACUGCAAAUUUAGAUGAUUUUCCCAUUGCUAUUAGAAAGGGGACUAGAACCUGUACAAAACAUCCCUUGUACCUAUUCAUGUCUUACAAAAACUUGUCCCAUAACCACAAAACCUUUCUUACCAACCUAAAUUCUAUCUCCAUUCCCAAAACUGUAUUCGAGGCAUUAGAAGAUGAAAAUUGGAAAAAUGCCAUGAAAGUUGAAAUGGAAGCUCUUCAAAAAAAUAAGACAUGGGACUUAGUGCAAUUACCGAGAAGAAAGAAACCAGUGGGAUGUCACUGGGUGUACACAGUGAAAUAUAAGUCAGAAGGUUCUUUGGAGAGGUACAAAGCAAGAUUGGUUGCUAAAGGGUACACUCAAAUGUAUGGAAUAGACUACCUUGAGACAUUUGCCCCUGUAGCAAAGAUGAACACUGUAAGAGUGUUGUUGUCACUAGCUGCCAGCCAAGGCUGGAAAUUAUAGCAAUUUGACAUCAAAAAAGCCUUUUUACACGGUGAUCUUGAGGAGGAAGUCUAUAUGGAUGUUCCUCCAGGAUUCGGUCCAAAUACAGGACAAGUAGUUUGCAGACUAAAAAAGGCUUUGUACGGUCUAAAACAGUCCCCGAGGGCUUGAUUUGGAAGAUUUACCAAAAUAAUGCUCAAGUUGGGUAUAAACAGAGUCAAGGAGAUCACACUCUAUUUGUAAAACACUCAUCUUCAAGGGGAGUGACUGCUUUAUUAGUCUAUGUUGAUGACAUUAUAGUGAUUGGUGAUGAUCUAGAAAGAAUGGAGAAUUUAAAGAAAUGCCUAGUAAUAGAAUUUGAAGUCAAAGAGCUCGGUAAGUUAAAAUAUUUCCUUGGUAUUGAAGUGGCACACUCUCGGAAAGGAAUAUUCAUAUCUCAGCAAAAAUACAUAGUUGAUUUGUUGACAGAGACGAGCAAGUUGGGCUGUAAACCAGCAGAGACACCCAUAGAGGUGAACCACAGACUUGGAAAUGCACUAGAAGAUGCAGCAGUUGAUAAAAGGUCAUAUCAAAGACUUGUGGGGAAGCUCAUUUACUUGUCUCAUACCAGACCAGAUAUUACCUAUGCAGUAGGUGUUGUAAGUCAGUUUAUGCACAAUCCCAAAGAAUCACAUCUUCGAGCCGUAUAUCAUAUUCUACAGUACUUAAAGGGCACACUAGGCAAAGGAAUCUUAUUUAAAAAGGGGCAGAAUUUAACCCUUGAAGCCUAUGCUAAUGCAGAUUAUGCAGGAUCUAUGGUUGAUAGAAGAUCAACCUCGGGCUAUUGUACUUUCCUAGGAGGCAACCUUGUGACUUGGAGGAGUAAAAAACAAAAUGUUGUGGCUAGAUCUAGUGCAGAAGCUGAAUUUAGGGCGAUGGCUCUUGGAGUUUGUGAGUUGUUAUGGCUAAAAAUUAUUUUGGAAGAUUUGAAGAUCGAGUGGGAAGGUCCAAUGAAGUUGUAUUGCGAUAAUAAGUCUGCUAUCAAUAUUGCACAUAAUCCAAUUCAACAUGAUCAAACGAAGCACGUUGAGGUUGACAAACAUUUUAUAAAGGAAAAACUGGACAGUGGCUUAAUUUGCACUCCAUUUGUGUCCACUGAUGGUCAACUAGCAGACAUACUUACCAAAGGAUUGUCUGGGAAGUUAUUUCAGAAAUUAGUAAGCAAGCUGAGAAUGGAUGAUAUCCACUUCCCAGCUUGAGGGGGAGUGUCAGAUUUCAGUUUCCUAAUUAAGGAAUAUUUGAGUGUAUCAAAUAGGAUUCUGUAAAUAUUAUCCCUAACUUUAAGGCUGUUUUUAGGUACAGCAUCCCUAGAAUUAGUAUGUUUCCUAGUGUAAAGUUUCCUAAGUUAGGCUCACUAUGUCUAUAAAUAUUUAUGUAAUUUCUUGUGAAAAAUAUAAUUGAAAUAGCCUGUUUUUAACAGAAUUGUUGCAACCAGGCAUGUUAAAAAAAUGAAAACAAAAAACAGUAAACAAGAUGCAAAAUUUAACAAAAGAACCUUUAAGAUUUUGCUUACUUCAAUCAAUAAUCAGUAAACAUAUUACGUGACAGAUUGAUUAAAUCAAACAGGAAACUAUAUGAUUGUAAGUUCUGAAUGACAGUCUCAAUGUAAUAUGUGCACUUUCUAAUGUGCUAUUAGGCUUCAGUCAAUUAAAGAUCAUCUCCUUAUCAGGAAAACAAAAUGCCGCGAAAAUAUCCUCUAAGAAAACAACUACACAAGCUCACCAUGAGAAGAUUCCCUACAUUCUCCUCAGAACCAUUCCACGGUUGAAUUGAGAAAGGUCUCUUCAAUUGCACUGUUUUGGGCGGAAACUCACACAGCUUGUCUAAAACAAGAAAAAGGAAAUAUAUAAAACAGUUGCCAAGCUGAAAACUCACACCAGGUAAGCAAAAAAUACCAGUGGGCAGUCAAGGCAUAGUCCCACAAGAUUGAUGGUUCAGAUGUUCAAACUUGGACAAUAAACAAAGGUAUGCAAUUUAGACUAGUAACAUACAAAAAAAAAAAUGACACCUUUUUAGCUCUAACAAUUCAGACGAUACAGACAGAACCAAGACCCACAAGCAUUCAUCAGAAGAGAUUCUUAGUUCAAUGAGGGAAUCAUACCAGUCAGAAGAAUAUAAAAUGAAUUAACUGAAAGAAUCAUGGAUCAAAUAAAUAGUCAAGUACUUCCACUAAAGAUCAAAGUAACCUUCACUAAACCGACAGAACCAAAGAGUUUAAAAGACGGUAGAAUGUGGCAAAGGAAUAUCCAAAAAUAACUACCUCUAAAUAUAUCAAGAUUUUGCAAGGCUUCAAAGCCGAGUGGCAGUGUUGAAGACAGCCCUUUGCUUGAUGUAGCUAUCUCCAUGAGUUCCAAGUAUUCAUCCUCUACAGGUUCCAUCGAUUCUUUAGCUAGUUUACGAGCAAUAGCUCUCUCAUUAGUAGCUCUAAGCCUGGCUGCCUCCUUUUCUUUACGCAGUUCUUCUUUUAUUCGUAAUCUCUCAGCCUUAGUACAUAUAGAGAUAUAAUUAUGCCCUAAACUCAUAUGCUAGAGUUUGAAAAUACUUAAAACAAAAUGCUCCAAGGCUUACUCUAAUAGAUUCUUUCAUCAAGAACUUCUCCCUACGCUCUAGUUCACGCCUCUGCUCUCUCUGGUAUCUCUCCUCCUCCCGAUGCUUUUCACGUAGCAGCCUCUCCUCUUCCUUCCGCUUUUCAUGUUCAUGUCUCCGCAUUUCUUUUCUUAUUUGCUCUUCUCUCUUUACAUACAAAAGAAGUAUUAAUGCAUAACUCAUAAACCUCACAGACCAAGAAAAAGGCACACUAGUAACCCAAACCUUUCGCUUCAACAUAUCCUGUUUUUCAAGCUCCCUUCUAAUUCUUUUCUCAUGGGCUUCAAUUUCACGUGUAAUUCUAUCUUCUUCACCCUACAAAACAUAGAUGAAGAUUCAUGAUUUAACAUUCUACGAUUAAUAGCCAUGAGGGUACUUCAUUACAAAUAACAGUACACCUUGCGCUUCCUCUCUUUGCGCAAAACAUCAUCAUCAAGACAGACCCUCCUGUCAGAUGACACAAAUGGACUUCCCAGUGCAGAAAUUGGGUGAGAACCAAUAUUAGCAUCGAGAGCAGUAUUUGUUGAAGAGUUUAUUCGUGAAACAUAAUCAUAUUCUCCUGAAGCAGUAGGUAAGAGAUGCCCUGGCCUGCUUUGUUGAGGCAAAAGAUUCAAAUUUGGUAUCUGACCUGGAAAACCAUAUCCAGGUUGUACUUGUUCAUUCCCAAGCAAAGAUGAACACCCAGCAGACAAUGAUGAGACUCUGGCAUUUGGACCAUCAGUGGGUAAACCGUAGUUGAAGGAUAGGGGAAAUCUUCCAUCAGUGGGUAAACCGUAGUUGAAGGAUAGGGGAAAUCUUCCAUAUGUUUCAGUUCUAACAGUGGGCUGCUCUAGGAGAAACUGAUAUUCACAAACAGCCCUCACCGAACCCUGAGGAUGCAAUAGGUUCUGUUAAUUUCUUGUCAAUACACUUCAUUUUGAAUAAUGUAAAAGAGUUCUAGAAUGAUAUACAGGUGAAGCUUGCCAAAUCACAUAAUCAGAUUAAUGAAGAAGCAGCAGAUUAAAUCAAGAAGAUGAAUGAAUCAACAGAAUUCUUUUCUAUUAUAUCAAUUGAACUUACUUAAUAAAUCAAGUAUUUAACAGGAAUAUAAUAUUCAACAUAUGAAAGAACCCAAGACAAUCUGAGACUUGCCCAAAGUCAAAUUAUGAGAUACAGAAAAGUUUUGUGUGCGCAGAUUGCCCAAAGUCUAGUUAUAGUUAAUAGGUAGUCCAAUUUAUAGUUUUCCUUAGUGCCAGUAAAACUAACAAAACCUAGAGAGGCAAGGCAUUGCAAAAGCAACCAUUAUGAAGGAGAAAGUAAUUGGGAUAUUCACGGUUCCCUACCCAUCUUGGAUGUGAGAAGAACAAAAUCUAACCUUGACUGUUUUUGUAUCCCGUCGAUCAUAUAUUUUGGUCUCAAAAGGCCCCCCAGGUUGUUUCUGCUGCACUGCUGUUGAUGCUCCUAGCAAAAGAUAUAAACAUUUAAUGGGUAGAAUGCUGGUUGACUUGAAGUCAAAAGACAACAGUUAAACACAAAAAACCAAAGAAAGUAUCAUGAUCAUUAAGUACAUGGCUAAUAAUUUUAUGUCACGAUUUGAGAGGAAAAUAGAACCAAUUCAGGAAGAAUAGAAAAUCAAACCACUGAAGCUUAAAAGUUAACCAAUCUAAACUCUUCAAUAGAAAAUGUACAUUUGUGACUCAAUACGCAUGCAGAUUAGACCAUGCUUUAAGUGUUGUUGAUAGAAACCAUUCCUUAUUGAACUCCUUAGGGUUCUAUCUACUCUUUCCUCUAUUUUCACACAUGCAUUACUGCUUUUACCGGUAAGAGUUGAGACCAACAAUUGACCUAACCAAUGAAAGUUUUAACCUUCUCUUCAGAAUUCCUAACCUGAAGCAAUCCACCUCCGCUGGUAACUAUUAACAUGUUACAGAAACCUAGUCCAAGAUGCUAGACGUUUAAGCAAGUUGAAAUCCUACCAAAAAAAAAAAAAACUCUAAAAUUAGCUUGAGUAGAAGAUCCAUGUCAAAAAGUUAGGCUUAAUUUCAACAAUUAGAUUCACAGUUUUUGAGCAAGAGGAGAGCAAUUUUAGUUACUUGCCUAUUGGUGCGCCAAAUGCACCAGGUGGAAAAGGAUCAAACUCCAUCCCAAACAUUGGACCAUCAUCCCUUAUAGGCUCACCCAGCUGUAAUUCCGCAAAUUUUAUAGCCCGAAGCUCAAGCUCUGCCAUCGAAUGAGUCAUCUCGUAAUACCUUGGAAUAGUCAUUCCAGCUCUUGGAACCACCCUUUUCAGGUCCAGCCCAUGCCCCAACAAACUGGACCCUCCUGAUCCAUGUUCAUUUCCCGCCUCAGAACCUCCCAUUUCUUCUCCCGCAACUCCAACAAGGUGAGCUGACGACGUGGAAUACUUCCUUUGACGCUUUAACGGCGCCGCCUUCCUAUCCUUUAGCCGGCGGUGGCAGAACCACAUCUGCAACUGUCUAUCAGAAAGCCCCAAUUGCACCGAUAAUUCCGCCCGCGUAGCUUCGGACGGGUACAUUUCCGCUGAAAAAGCAUAAAUGAGCAAAUUUACAACAUAUUAACCACAAAAAAGAAAAAAAAACAUCGAGACAGAAAUGAGUGAGAAAGUAAAACAAACUGGCAUAUGUUUUCUCUAGAACUUCAAGCUGAGAAGCGGUCUUCAUUUUCCGUUUGACUUUUGUUUCUCCUUCCUGAGGCUUCUUCUUCUCGCCUUCAGAACUGCCUCCAUCUCCGCCGCUAAUACCACCAGUCUCCAUUUUUCAAGGUGAGAAAAAAAAUCCCAAGAUAUUUAACGAAGGUGAAACAGAAUUUCACUCUCUAUAACAUUGAGAAUGAGAGCAUGAAAGAGCUUCAACAGCUAGAAAAUCAAAGAAGAGGAAAACACAGGGGGGAUUCACCCUUUAAACUAGGGAUUGACGAAAAUAAAAAAUGAAUUUACUUUACUAAACUAUUAGGCAUUAAUUAGUACCACAAACAAAGUCUUUCUCUAUCUAAAGAAAGAAAGAAAAAAAAAUAUAAGGAGAAGUUACUUGUCUGUCUCUCUCAGAAUAAAGAAUCAAAGUGGUAGUGGUGAGUGUGUGAUUAAGAUGUGCGGUUAGAUUUCCAAAAGAAAUACUUAAAAGAUAAUAGCCUUAGUGGUGUCGUGAUGAAAAUAGUAAUGGUAGAUAGACGAGAGCUUAAAUAAAGGAAAAAGAAGAAUAGAGAUGAAAGAUGGUUGAGAAAUAUUAAAAAUUAAUAGUAGUAGUAGCAGUAAUGAAAACAAAAGGAGGAAAGGAUGUGGAACAGAAAGACUAUAAUAAUGAUACUGAGAGAAUGAAAAACGAGGAAGAAUGCAAUAUCCAAGAACAAAACUCACCCUCUCUGUCAUCCCAAUCGAUCCCAUUGUUGUUGCAGGUUAUAAAUUAAUGGGAAUGAAAGAGGAAGAGAAGCGUAUUUGUCAGACCAGAUCAAUUUUUGUCUUUGUGUUUUUCAAUUUGAAAUAUGGGAGACUAACUUCAACGAUACGGUGUUCAGUUUCUCUCUCUUACAAGUUACAACGCUGUUUUUCAUGUUUCUUAUUAAGGUCAACUCUCUAAUUAAUCACUCAAUUUUUCACAUCUUUCUAGUUUGGUCACUGAACUAUGAAAAUUUUCAAUUUAAUCAUUAAAUUGUUUAGAAUCAUUUUUUAGUCACUGUACCGUUAAGUCUGAAACAGCUAGAUGACUGACCAUUAUAAACUACAUAAAUAGUCACUCAACUAUGAGAGUUUUUCUGUUUUGCACAUCCAACUAAUUUUUUUAUUUAGUUACUAAAGUUUUCAAAUUUAGAUUUUUAGUCUUUGUACCGUUAAGUUAUUAAAAAAAGUUUGACUCAGUCUUUUUUUACAGGUGUACAAGCCCAAUUUUGGGCCCAAAACCCCUAAAUCCACUAAGCCUAAAACCCAACAAAACCUACCCAAACCCCAAACAGGCCUAGUGCCUAACAUCAGCCCGAAAUCAAAACAAAAAUUAAAAAAACCCUAGCCUAAACCACCUAAUCCACCGCCCCAGUCACAUCGCCAGUGCAAG